rnacentral:rRNA from 1 species
UACGGGGGGAGCAAGCGUUGUUCGGAUUUACUGGGCGUAAAGGGCGCGUAGGCGGCCACCGCAAGUCGGUUGUGAAAUCUCUGGGCUUAACCCAGAAAGGUCAACCGAUACUGCGGGGCUAGAGUGCAGAAGGGGCAACUGGAAUUCUCGGUGUAGCGGUGAAAUGCGUAGAUAUCGAGAGGAACACCUGCGGCGAAGGCGGGUUGCUGGGCUGACACUGACGCUGAGGUGCGAAAGCGUGGGGAGCAAACAGG